AUUGAACGCUGGCGGCAGGCUUAACACAUGCAAGUCGAACGGUAGCAGGAGAAAGCUUGCUUUCUUGCUGACGAGUGGCGGACGGGUGAGUAAUGCUUGGGAAUCUGGCUUAUGGAGGGGGAUAACUACGGGAAACUGUAGCUAAUACCGCGUAGAAUCGGAAGAUGAAAGUGCGGGACCGCAAGGCCGCAUGCCAUGAGAUGAGCCCAAGUGGGAUUAGGUAGUUGGUGGGGUAAGGGCCUACCAAGCCUGCGAUCUCUAGCUGGUCUGAGAGGAUGGCCAGCCACACUGGAACUGAGACACGGUCCAGACUCCUACGGGAGGCAGCAGUGGGGAAUAUUGCGCAAUGGGGGGAACCCUGACGCAGCCAUGCCGCGUGAAUGAAGAAGGCCUUCGGGUUGUAAAGUUCUUUCGGUAUUGAGGAAGGUUGAUGUGUUAAUAGUACAUCAAAUUGACGUUAAAUACAGAAGAAGCACCGGCUAACUCCGUGCCAGCAGCCGCGGUAAUACGGAGGGUGCGAGCGUUAAUCGGAAUAACUGGGCGUAAAGGGCACGCAGGCGGUUAUUUAAGUGAGGUGUGAAAGCCCCGGGCUUAACCUGGGAAUUGCAUUUCAGACUGGGUAACUAGAGUACUUUAGGGAGGGGUAGAAUUCCACGUGUAGCGGUGAAAUGCGUAGAGAUGUGGAGGAAUACCGAAGGCGAAGGCAGCCCCUUGGGAAUGUACUGACGCUCAUGUGCGAAAGCGUGGGGAGCAAACAGG
rnacentral:rRNA from 1 species